GCUUCUUUUAUAGGAGUGGGGUGGGGUCAGUCUCAGCUGGGGUGGAUUUAAGUGAGGUAGUAUUAAGAGAUUGGACAAGCCUGUGAUAUCACUAGGAGAGUCUUGUGACAUCACUAGCUUCUAGGAGGAGGUGGCAAGUAUCAGGUUACUCUUUUGGUGGGAGAAGAACAUGAUGGGAAGAAGAAACCUGUCCUUUGUUGGGAGAAGCCAUAUUUUAACAUGAAGGCUGCUAUUCCAUGUGGCAUCCAUCUUUAGGUAUCUGGAGUGCAGAUCCUGGAAAGGCUGUGAUGUGCUACAAAUCUUCACCAUUUUUUCCUCCCUGGAGGAUCAAUUUAGCCAAACAAUGGAGAUUUCUGAGAAAGAACAGAAAUAUGAGAAGUAAAAAGCACAGUAAGUGAAAUAAAAAACUCAGCACAAAGGCUCACCAAUAGACUGAAUCACACAGGAAGCAUAAUUUCAGGACCAGAAAAAAGGUUGAUUAAUUGUCACACGCACUAAUAAAUAAAAAGUAAGAAAUUAUGGACAAAAUAUCAAAAAAACUCUGUGGUAUGGUUAAAGAUGAAACUUAGACUUUUUCAAGUAGAAGAGGACACCACAGUUUAGACUGACAACAUUAAAAAACCUAUUUGAUAAAAUAAUAAAAUAAAACUUCCUGAAUCUUGGGAAAGAAAUUGAUAUCCAGGAAAUGGAAAGCAUUUAGAAGCUGAAACCAACAUAACCAGAAAAUAACCUCUCCAUGUCACAUUAUAGUUAAAAAUGCACGGAGCAAGGGGAUUACCUAAAAAGCUCACAGGCUAUGGAGCUACACAGAGAUAGCAGCAGCUUAGAUCUAGAGGGUCACAGACACUGAGAGCCAGUAGAGUGAAUACAAUCACAAAGCAGAGACGAAACCAAUAAUUGACCCUACCUAGCAGGAAAGAAAGGGCAGGAGUCAGCACUCACCACACCCACACACCCACCCAUGAACACACAUACACCCACACCGUGGGUGUGGAAAUAAAUUAGGCACUAGCUGUGACUCAAAAUCCUUUUCCUUCACCUGGGAGAUUCUCAUACUAUAGUCCCUGAAAAGAAAUCACUCAUCCAAACACAAAGAGAAAUUUUUAGGGAGUUUUUUUCCCCCCU
rnacentral:lncRNA from 1 species